rnacentral:lncRNA from 1 species
GGUGAUGUAAUAUUACAUGAAUUAAUUUUUAAUAUGACAUAAUACAUAAAUGUGUUUUUUAAUUUAGCUUCAAUUGAUAUUUAUGUUUUUUAUUUUUGAUUAUGCACGUGUAGACUGUUUAACUUGCGUAAAACUGAACAAAUCGACAAGCGUACAUGACAAUUUGUGUCCUAUAUGUAUUAUGUCACGUCAGACGCAUGCGUCUACUUGUUCAAGUUUAUACAAGUUUAAGUGUCUACUUGUACACAUUCAAAAUUGAAGGUCAU